AUUGAACGCUGGUGGCAGGCUUAACACAUGCAAGUCGAACGGUAACAGGAAUUAGCUUGCUAAUUUGCUGACGAGUGGCGGACGGGUGAGUAAUGCUUGGGAAUCUGGCUUAUGGAGGGGGAUAACUACGGGAAACUGUAGCUAAUACCGCGUAAAAUCUUCGGAUUAAAGGGUGGGACUUUCGAGCCACCUGCCAUAAGAUGAGCCCAAGUGGGAUUAGGUAGUUGGUUAGGUAAAGGCUGACCAAGCGGACGAUCUCUAGCUGGUCUGAGAGGAUGACCAGCCGCACGGGAGCUGAGACACGGUCCAGACGCCUGCGGGAGGCAGCAGUGGGGAAUAUUGCGCAGUGGGGGGAAACCUGAUGCAACCAUGCCGCGUGAAUGAAGGAGGCGUUCGGGUUGUAAAGUUCUUUCGGUGACGGGAAAGGUUGAUAGGUUAAUAGCAUGUCAAAUUGACGUUAAUGACAGAAGAAGCACCGGCUAACUCCGUG
rnacentral:rRNA from 1 species